ACCAAGACAUGAAGUUAGGUCAGCAAACCCGCUGAAUUUAAGCAUAUAAGUAAGCGGAGGAUAAGAAACUAAAUAGGAUUCCCUC
rnacentral:rRNA from 1 species